rnacentral:lncRNA from 1 species
AAAAAAUUGAAACUGGAAUUAAACAGAAAAUGAAUCAUAAAUACUACCAAUAAAUAAAAGCUGUAGUACCAGGAAAUUAAUCAUGCUUUUCCCAAAUCCCAUUAAAUCGCAGGACUUUGUUUAACCUGACUGACAAUGCAUGCCCUGCUAUGAAUUGUGAACAGCUGAGACUGUGAACACAAGGAAAUAGUGACUCACUGCAGAGCAUGGAGGCUGAUGAAGUGUGUUUAUGGCACAGUAGUGGUGAAUGUUUGUCCACACCUACAACAGCCACAGAUCAAGUUGGUGACGUUCCCGUUGGACUUGUGGCUGCUAUGUUCCAGUUCCAGUCCUAGGUGGAGCUUGGAAAUAUGGAAAAAAAAUCACACACAAAACUGGGAAGAGAAGCAACUGGAGGGACCUCUACCUAAGGCCCAUCAAAAGGAAAAGAAUGACAGAAGUAUGGGAAUACAGAGAAAGCGUACAGGGAAUUGA